rnacentral:rRNA from 1 species
UACGUAGGUGGCAAGCGUUGUCCGGAAUUAUUGGGCGUAAAGCGCGCGCAGGCGGUCCUUUAAGUCUGAUGUGAAAGCCCACGGCUCAACCGUGGAGGGUCAUUGGAAACUGGGGGACUUGAGUGCAGAAGAGAAAAGCGGAAUUCCACGUGUAGCGGUGAAAUGCGUAGAGAUGUGGAGGAACACCAGUGGCGAAGGCGGCUUUUUGGUCUGUAACUGACGCUGAGGCGCGAAAGCGUGGGGAGCAAACAGG